GUUAAGUGACUUUCCCAGGAUCAUACAACUAGUUGCACUACUGAUCCAUCUCGACAGGAGUUUUUCUACUAUGCCCCCUUGCCAGACAUGACAACUAAGUCCUACUCUGUCACACCAGAAGAAAGAAGUAGUAUGGGAACUAGAAGCCAGGAUUCUUGCAUCCUGCAACACUUUUUCCAUCCUCAGCACCGUAUCUGUUUCCAUCCUCAGUACCAUAUCUAACAGCUCUUGAUCCUAGACAAAUUAUAUCCUGGGGGUGGGGGGUAUAGCACAGAGGACAAUCUACUCAGGUCAGUGAACCAGUGAAAACUGGUUUGACUGCUAUGGUCCCAGCCCCUCAGGAUGCACAUAUGGUAAGGUUAAUAACCAGUAACUGGACAUUUCUCCUCUUCCCAGCUUCUUGCUGGAUGGCACACUUAUAAUUAAGUUUCCUAGAUCCCUGCCCCUCAUUCCUUACACCAUAUUAAACAAUUUAGAAAACACCCUAUUCACACUUGGCCCUAGCUAUACAGCUAUCUUCCCCUAUUGAUAAAAACACAGUCUUCUAUUGGUGCCAUGCUGAUUCUUUGUCUAAAACUCUACAUAAACUUGGUCCUGAAAGGCUAUGGGCCUUUGAGCAGAGUCUGAACGCUACCCUACUGUAUACUCUCCUUUGCCAGGAGCAAUGGGGGCCAAACACCU